rnacentral:tmRNA from 1 species
GGGGAUGAUCGGUUUCGACGUGUGUUUGUAUCGCAGGGGAAGCGGGCCAAGGAUGCUGGGUUAUCUUGUGAACGCCCCCAGCAAACUAUAGGUGCCGAUUCUAAGCGCACCGACUUCGCCCUCGCUGCUUAAGCGAGCGCAAUGAAGUCCGUCAGCCUAGGUAUGUUCUCGACCUAGUUCCUGGCGUCAUCUAGAGAACUUGCUGGUUGCUGGUGUCACAGCGGCAACCGGGACUUGCACUGUGACUGGGCCCAUCUCACUUGCUCGCCUGAUGCGGGUGGGGGGCCGAGAAAUAGCUCUCAGGCUGCGCCCGGAGAAGCCCUGCUUUUGGACAUGCGGACGCGGGUUCGAUUCCCGCCAUCUCCACUC